AAGACUGACUCCCUCCCCCAAGCAGCCACCAACUUCCAACUGUCUCCUCAGUCAAGAGUGGGGGCCAGGAGUACCUCUCUGAUCCAUGCUGGAAUUUUUUUAACCAACUUGAUCUUAUCUAGGUCUUGUUCAGCAAGAAAACAGAUGGAGAUGCCGGCAUCCUGAGGCCAUAAAGUAAGUGGCUAAUGAUGGGUGGACUGACCAGAAAUCGCUGCCAGAGGAGAAGCUGGAGACAAAGAAGAGGACUAUCUUUCCCUCCACAGUUCUCUGACUCUCCCAUGCCGACAGCACCCGUGUCCUCUGGCAAUCCCCCACAUCCAGCUGUCUCCCCGACUGUACCACUAAGCUUUUCCCAAAGGUGCAGGAAGAGUCUUCCCAGGUGCAUUCUUCAAGCACAGGGGGUCCAGGCCCCAGGAGCAACCGUCAGCCCAUGAGACAUAGUAGUCAGUGCCAUCUCACCCAUCCCUCAGUGGCUGGUUCUGAACCACACCUCCCGGCUUCCUCAGCACGGACCUUUUUGAUAAUGAACCUAUUUAUUUUCUCUGUC